rnacentral:rRNA from 1 species
GCCAGCAUCAGCUUGCCGUCNGUNACNAAAGCUUCNGGAACGNAGCUCUCUUCGGGGAGUGUUAUANUCCGUUGCACAAUACCCUUCGGCGGGCUGAGGUACGCGCUCCGCAAGGAUGCUGGNAUAAUGGUCAUCAGCGACCNGUCUUGAANCACGGACCAAGGAGUCAACCUUAUNUGCGAGUGUUCGNGUGUCAAACCCCUNCGCGUAAUGNAAGUGAACGCANGUGAGAGCUUCGGCGCANCAUCGACCGAUCCUGAUGUUCUCGGAUGGAUUUGAGUAAGAGCAUAUAGGGUUGGACCCGAAAGAAGGUGAACUAUGCGUGUAUAGGGUGAAGCCAGAGGAAACUCUGGUGGAGGCUCGCAGCGGUUCUGACGUGCAAAUCGAUCGUCAAAUAUGCGCAUGGGGGCGAAAGACUAAUCGAACCUUNUAGUAGCUGGUUUCCGCNGAAGUUUCCCUCAGGAUAGCAGUGUUGAGCUCAGUUUNAUGAGGUAAAGCGAAUGAUUAGGGACUCGGGGGCGNUAUAUUGCCUUCAUCCAUUNUCAAACUUUAAAUAUGUAAGAAGCCCUUGUUACUUAGUUGAACGUGGGCAUUNGAAUGUAUCAACNCUAGUGGGCCNUUUUUGGUAAGCAGAACUGGCGAUGCGGGAUGAACCGAACGCGAGGNUAAGGUGCCAGAGUAG